rnacentral:rRNA from 1 species
CAAUAGCGUAUAUUAAAGUUGUUGCAGUUAAAAAGCUCGUAGUUGGAUUUCUGGUUGAAGCGACCGGUCGGGCGUUGAUUCGUCUGCACUGGAGUCGGUUUUGGCCAUCCUCUAGGAAAGUGCGUCUGGUAUUAAGUUAUCGGGCGUAUGAUCCUGGUCUUUUACUGUGAAAAAAUUAGAGUGUUUAAAGCAGGCCUUCGCCUUGAAUACAUUAGCAUGGAAUAAUAAGAUAGGACUUUGGUCUAUUUUGUUGGUUUGCAGACCGAAGUAAUGAUUAAUAGGGAUAGUUGGGGGUAUUUAUAUUCCGAUGUCAGAGGUGAAAUUCUUAGAUUUUCGGAAGAUAAACUUAUGCGAAAGCAUUUACCAAGGAUGUUUUCACUAA